rnacentral:tRNA from 2 species
GUCAGGAUAGCUCAGUUGGUAGAGCAGAGGACUGAAAAUCCUCGUGUCAC